GACGAACGCUGGCGGCGUGCCUAAUACAUGCAAGUAGAACGAGUUGCGAACGGGUGAGUAACGCGUGGUAACCUGCCUCAUAGCGGGGGAUAACUAUUGGAAACGGUAGCUAAUACCGCAUACCAUCAGAUGUGCCCAGAUGGGAUUAGCUUGUUGGUGGGGUAACGGCUCACCAAGUCGACGAUCCCUAGCUGGUCUGAGAGGAUGACCAGCAAAAGUGGAACUGAGAACGGGUCCGAGCUCUUACGGGAGGAAGCAUUGGGAAUUAUUGGAAAAUGGGCGCAAGCCUAAUGCAGCCAUGCCGGGUGUAUGAAGAAGGACUUCGGGUUGUAAAGUACUUUCAGCGGGGAGGCGUUACCCGCAGAAGAAGGACCGGCUAACUCCGUGCCAGCAGCCGCGGUAAUAC
rnacentral:rRNA from 1 species